GCAACACGUCCUUGAGAGGCUCUGUCGUUAUUUCAACUAGUUGGAUUGACUUGCCAAGAAAUUUCUGGAACAUCGUAGCCGUUAUCAAUGUAGUCCUUCCCAGCAGGCACUGCGACAGAAAGUAUCAACCUCUCCUUCCUGCGUGAAUCUCCUUCCUGAUUAAACGCCUCUCGAAGUUCCUGUGAUAAGGAAUACCUAUGGUCCCAACGUAUUUCUAACUUUUUCUGGGAGAUGCUGAUGGAGUGUUGGUUUGGUGGUCUCGUCUCUAGUGGCAUUACCAUGUACAGAGGUACACGAAGGCUGUUUCUUCCCUAUUUUCACUUAUUGGAUGACAAGAUGAGAUUGAUAGCGCAUUUUACGACCCAAUAAACUAUUAUCGAAAUGGAA